UAUGACUCUGUGUAGGAGCCGGAGAGGGGACAUGUCGCUGCUUCCGGGAGCUGCUUGAGGAGACCAGCUGGGAAGAGAAGAAUAAUAAUAAGAAAAAACCUGGAAGAAGAAGAAUUCAUCCCCAAGACUCAGCCUAAGACCAGAGCUGUUAAGAAUCCUCUGCACGACGGUGACGUGCAGCAACUAGGACCCAGACGAGACCAACCGUGCCUGGCCAACAGGGAAAGUCCGCCUGCGUGAUCAGGAUUGGUAAAAUCUACACUGAAACAAGACAGCUUUGUGUUGAUGGCCCAUCAAAGGCAAUUAACUCUCACAAUGGCCCAUAGAAGAAAUUCAUCCGGCCCAGCAAGCCUUCCUGUGGACGCCCCAGCCAGAAUAUGGGUAAUGGCUGUGCUUGGGAGUCAUCAAAGCAUGAAUGGGCAUGUGACUUGUUCAUGUGACCCUGGACUCCAUCUUGUGCCUGUAAUUUUCCACAAACAAAGAUGGCGAGCUUUGUUUGGGACAGUAAAAUUCCAUCCACAUGGGAGAGGAUAUAAAAGAUCCUGGCUAGAAAAAUCUCCCUUUUGUCUUCAUUUCCUGCUUUAUUUCUCUGGACUGGAUUUCUAACAAGGAAGCUCUAAACAAGGACUGAUGACCCCAAAGCUGUUUGGGUAAUUUCCAGAGAGACUUUUUGCAAACUAGCAAUUUAUUCCAUCACGGCUACAAACCUGAUACAAUAACUUUGCAAUGAUGAUAUAUAUCUGAUUUCCUUAAUCUUUUUAAUUCUUUCCUCUUAUAAAUAAACAUUUAGAUAGUAGAUACUAAA